rnacentral:lncRNA from 1 species
AGUUUAAAAUAAGUUUUACUGAGUACAAAUUCUGAAUUGUUUAAUGUGUCUGUCCCAACAGGAUUAACCUUGGAAGGUGGAGGCUUCUGUGGCACUGUGUUAUAGAUGUUGGGGUACUCACCGCCCAAUAGACCACCAGGAAAAAAGGAGAGGGUAAAACAACCCCACUCGACGUCGUUGGCAGGUUUGGGCUCCAUAAAUCCGGGACCAGGAUGUAGCAAGGAGGAGGGGCCGGAGAGUGGAAAGCUACCAGGAAGGGGAGUAGACCAAGGCACUUUAAAGGUACUACAAAAGAAAAAAAGCAUGUAAAUAAAUCAAGCAUAAAGUUAGAAUGAUAUGGCUAGGCUCUGGCAAGGUUAGGUUGAGUAUGAGGCACUCAACCAUGUGCCGCACAGCGGCACAUGGGAGAGUGGAUGGCACGGGCACAAGCAAAUAUAUUAACAUAAU